CAUUUGUUCCCUAAAUAGGGACUUGUAUGAAUGGCCACACGAGGGUUUUACUGUCUCUUACUUCCAAUCAGUGAAAUUGACCUUCCCGUGAAGAGACGGGGAUAGACAAAUAAGACGAGAAGACCCUAUGGAGCUUUAACUAACCAGCCCAAAGAAAACAAACUCAACCACCAAGGGACAACAAAAUUCUUUAUGGGCUAGCAGUUUCGGUUGGGGUGACCUCGGAGAAUAAGAAAUCCUCCGAGCGAUUUUAAAGAUCAGACCUACAAGUCGAAUCAAAUCAUCGCUUAUUGAUCCAAAAAUUUGAUCAACGGAACAAGUUACCCUAGGGAUAACAGCGCA
rnacentral:rRNA from 1 species